rnacentral:rRNA from 1 species
CGGACGGGUGAGUAACACGUGGAUAACCUACCUAUAAGACUGGGAUAACUUCGGGAAACCGGAGCUAAUACCGGAUAAUAUUUUGAACCGCAUGGUUCAAAAGUGAAAGACGGUCUUGCUGUCACUUAUAGAUGGAUCCGCGCUGCAUUAGCUAGUUGGUAAGGUAACGGCUUACCAAGGCAACGAUGCAUAGCCGACCUGAGAGGGUGAUCGGCCACACUUGAACUGAGACACGGUCCAG